rnacentral:rRNA from 1 species
GACGAACGCUGGCGGCGUGCUUAACACAUGCAAGUCGAACGGAAAGGCCCUGCUUUUGUGGGGUGCUCGAGUGGCGAACGGGUGAGUAACACGUGAGUAACCUGCCCUUGACUUUGGGAUAACUUCAGGAAACUGGGGCUAAUACCGGAUAGGAGCUCCUGCUGCAUGGUGGGGGUUGGAAAGUUUCGGCGGUUGGGGCUGGACUCGGGGCUUAUCAGCUUGUUGGUGGGGUAGUGGCUUACCAAGGCUUUGACGGGUAGCCGGCAUGAGAGGGUGACCGGCCACAAUGGGACUGAGAUACGGCCCAGACUCCUACGGGAGGCAGCAGUGGGGGAUAUUGCACAAUGGGCGGAAGCCUGAUGCAGCAACGCCGCGUGCGGGAUGACGGCCUUCGGGUUGUAAACCGCUUUCGCCUGUGACGAAGCGUGAGUGACGGUAAUGGGUAAAGAAGCACCGGCUAACUACGUG